rnacentral:rRNA from 1 species
UGUCUCUUACGGACUAGCCAAUGAAAUUGAUCCUUCAGUACAAAAGCUGGAAUUAACCCAUAAGACGAGAAGACCCUGUGGAGCUUCAAAACCAAAAUCACUAAACAUGCCUCCUGGUUUUUUAGUUGGGGCGACUUUGGAGCAAAAAAAAUCCUCCAAAACAUAAAGUCAUUUAUUAAGAAAAACACACCAAAAAUAAUAUUAUAGACCCAGCAGUACUAGUUUACUGUCUGAUCAAUGAACCAAGUUACCCCAGGGAUAACAGCGCCAUCCUCUUCUAGAGUCCUUAUCGACAAGAGGGUUUACGACCUCGAUGUUGGAUCAGGACACC